rnacentral:rRNA from 1 species
CGGGUGUAGGAAAGGCCUUAAUCAUGCAAGUCGAAACGAACUCUGUGUAUUGAUUGGUGCUUGCAUCAUGAUUUACAUUUGAGUGAGUGGCGAACUGGUGAGUAACACGUGGGAAACCUGCCCAGAAGCGGGGGAUAACACCUGGAAACAGAUGCUAAUACCGCAUAACAACUUGGACCGCAUGGUCCGAGUUUGAAAGAUGGCUUCGGCUAUCACUUUUGGAUGGUCCCGCGGCGUAUUAGCUAGAUGGUGGGGUAACGGCUCACCAUGGCAAUGAUACGUAGCCGACCUGAGAGGGUAAUCGGCCACAUUGGGACUGAGACACGGCCCAAACUCCUACGGGAGGCAGCAGUAGGGAAUCUUCCACAAUGGACGAAAGUCUGAUGGAGCAACGCCGCGUGAGUGAAGAAGGGUUUCGGCUCGUAAAACUCUGUUGUUAAAGAAGAACAUAUCUGAGAGUAACUGUUCAGGUAUUGACGGUAUUUAACCAGAAAGCCACGGCUAACUACGUGCCAGCAGCCGCGGUAAUACGUAGGUGGCAAAGCGUUGUCCGGAUUUAUUGGGCGUAAAGCGAGCGCAGGCGGUUUUUUAAGUCUGAUGUGAAAGCCUUCGGGCUCAACCGAAGAAGUGCAUCGGAAACUGGGAAACUUGAGUGCAGAAGAGGACAGUGGAACUCCAUGUGUAGCGGUGAAAUGCGUAGAUAUAUGGAAGAACACCAGUGGCGAAGCGGCUGUCUGGUCUGUAACUGACGCUGAGGCUCGAAAGUAUGGGUAGCAACAGGAUUAGAUACCCUGGGUAGUCCAUACCGUAAACGAUGAAUGCUAAGUGUUGGGAGGGGUGUCGCCCCUUUCAGUGCUGCAGCCAAACGCAUUAAGGAUUCCGCCCGGGGUGAGUUACGGGCCGCCAAGGA